ACGGAUUUAGAAGAGCUUGCUUUUCUAAGUUAGUGGCGGACGGGUGAGUAACACGUGGAUAACCUGCCUUAGACAGAGGGAUAACAAUCAGAAAUGGUUGCUAAAACCUCAUAAGCUUACAGCAUGGCAUCAUGCAGUGAGAAAAUAUUAAUAGGUCUAAGAGGGGUCCGCGUCUGAUUAGCUAGUUGGUGAGGUAAGGGCCCACCAAGGCGACGAUCAGUAGCCGGCCUGAGAGGGCGAACGGCCACAUUGGGACUGAGACACGGCCCAAACUCCUACGGGAGGCAGCAGUGGGGAAUAUUGCGCAAUGGGGGAAACCCUGACGCAGCAAUGCCGCGUGAAGGAAGACGGUUUUCGGAUUGUAAACUUCUAUCGAUGGGGAAGAAAGAAAUGACGGUACCCAAGUAAGAAGCACCGGCUAAAUACGUGCCAGCAGCCGCGGUAAUACGUAUGGUGCAAGCGUUAUCCGGAAUUACUGGGCGUAAAGGGUGAGUAGGCGGCUAGACAAGUCACAUGUGAAAAUUAAGGGCUCAACCCUUGACUUGCAUGAGAAACUGUUAAGCUGGAGUGCAGGAGAGGUAAGCGGAAUUCCUAGUGUAGCGGUGAAAUGCGUAGAUAUUAGGAAGAACACCAGUGGCGAAG
rnacentral:rRNA from 1 species